CCCGCUGAACUUAAGCAUAUCAAUAAGCGGAGGAAAAGAAACUAACAAGGAUUCCCCUAGUAACGGCGAGUGAAGCGGGAAGAGCUCAAAUUUAAAAUCUGGUUUGCUUUGCAAAUCCGAGUUGUAGUCUGAAGAAACGUUUUCCAUGAAAGCUGAGGCACAAGUCCUUUGGAACAGGGCAUCAUAGAGGGUGAGAAUCCCGUCCAUGGUCUCAAGCCUUUCAUUUUGUGAUACGUUUUCUAAGAGUCAGGUUGUUUGGGAAUGCAGCCUAAAAUGGGUGGUAAAUUUCAUCUAAAGCUAAAUAUUGGCGAGAGACCGAUAGCGAACAAGUACCGUGAGGGAAAGAUGAAAAGAACUUUGAAAAGAGAGUUAAAAAGUACGUGAAAUUGUUGAAAGGGAACCGUUUGAAGCCAGUCUUGCUUGCUUGUGAUCAAUCUUUGCUUCGGCUUGGAUGCACUCUCAGGUUAUGCAGGUCAACGUCAGUUUGAGAGGUGGGAAAAAAGCUUGAGGAAUGUGGCCUUCGGGUGUUAUAGCCUCUUGCUAAAUACCAUCUUUUGGACUGAGGCUCGCAGCAAAAAUGUGGGCAGGUUUGCGUUUGAGGUGAUACAUUAUUAAGACAGCUUGCUGACUUAGUUUUGUCUAUCUCUCCCUGUAAGCUUCGCUUCUAAUUUGCUUAGGUCGUUGACUAUAAUGGCUUUAAAUGACCCGUCUUGAAACACGG
rnacentral:rRNA from 1 species